rnacentral:rRNA from 1 species
AGAGUUUGAUCAUGGCUCAGAUUGAACGCUGGCGGCAUGCCUUACACAUGCAAGUCGAACGGCAGCACGGGAGCAAUCCUGGUGGCGAGUGGCGAACGGGUGAGUAAUACAUCGGAACGUGCCCAAUCGUGGGGGGAUAACGCAGCGAAAGCUGUGCUAAUACCGCAUGAGAUCUACGGAUGAAAGCAGGGGACCGCAAGGCCUUGCGCGAAUGGAGCGGCCGAUGGCAGAUUAGGUAGUUGGUGGGGUAAAGGCUCACCAAGCCGACGAUCUGUAGCUGGUCUGAGAGGACGACCAGCCACACUGGGACUGAGACACGGCCCAGACUCCUACGGGAGGCAGCAGUGGGGAAUUUUGGACAAUGGGCGCAAGCCUGAUCCAGCCAUGCCGCGUGCAGGAUGAAGGCCUUCGGGUUGUAAACUGCUUUUGUACGGAACGAAAAGUCUCUUUCUAAUAAAGAGGGAUCAUGACGGUACCGUAAGAAUAAGCACCGGCUAACUACGUGCCAGCAGCCGCGGUAAUACGUAGGGUGCAAGCGUUAAUCGGAAUUACUGGGCGUAAAGCGUGCGCAGGCGGUGAUGUAAGACAGUUGUGAAAUCCCCGGGCUCAACCUGGGAACUGCAUCUGUGACUGCAUUGCUGGAGUGCGGCAGAGGGGGAUGGAAUUCCGCGUGUAGCAGUGAAAUGCGUAGAUAUGCGGAGGAACACCGAUGGCGAAGGCAAUCCCCUGGGCCUGCACUGACGCUCAUGCACGAAAGCGUGGGGAGCAAACAGGAUUAGAUACCCUAGUAGUCC